rnacentral:lncRNA from 1 species
UUUUUUUUUUUUUUUUUUUUUUUGGAAACAGACUGGAAUCCCAAAGUCAUAGGCCAGCACCAAAGCUCAUUACUGUAGAUUACUGUAGGGCCCCAGCUCUUCACCCUACCUUGCUCCAUUGUGGUUUGAAACUCACUUUCAAACAAAGUACAACUGACAUCUCUUUAACUAGACCUACUGGUGUUAAUACCAUUGCAAUCCUAUCAAGCGCUGUGCUGCUCCUAGCAACACACUCCAAUUUUAUCAUCCUUACUCAUUCUCGCAUGACUACAUGUGUACAAACAAGCCCUGAUAUUUAAACUAACACACAUGUUGGGGUGAGCAGGAUCAUCUUCAAAUGUCUAACUUGCCUGUGAAAUGAAUCCAAAACAGGAAAGUCCUUCCCUUUCAAGGAUUAUUUUGGUCUUCUAGAUUUUCCUUCUGGGGAGAGGCACAGGUAGGACAAGGCUCUGAGACCCAGUUUAAUAGAAGUCGGUUCCCAUCUUAUAGGGACUGUUCCAUUUCAAAGAUGAGGGAUGUUAGGACCAGAGAUAUAAAUUAAUUUGCCUAAAAUCAUCAGCUGGUUACAGGUAGAGCAACGAGCCAGUCAUACUCUUUCUUAAUCCCUACCUAGACCUACCCUAUACAAUGCCUUCUUUUGCCAGAAGAUUUGGCCUCUAACUUGCACCAUGAGGACCCCAAGGUAAGGAAGGAAAUCUGGGACCUGUAGGCUGUAUUCCAGGGUAGGAUGACACUGGCCAGCGUGAGAAGAGAAAGGAGACUCGAGGUGGAAGCCAGGAAAGAUCAAAAGUGGAAGAAAAAAUAAAUAAAUAGAAAUAAAAGUAGAGGGAUGCCUGGGUGUCUCAGUGGUUAAGCAUCUACCUUGGGCUCAGGUCGGGAUCCCGGGGUCUUGGGAUCCAGUCCCGCAUCGGGCUCCCCACAGGGAGCCUGCUUCUCUCUCUGCCUGUGUCUCUGCUUCUCUCUCUGUGUCUCUCACGAAUAAAUAAAUAAAAUCUUUUUUAAAAAUAAAAAUAAAAGUGCAAGAAAACAAAGAAAGCUAUUUGCAUCUUGUUAUCUUGAGGCAAACGUGAUUGAGCUUGACAGAGAUACCUGCCAACUGUCCGUGUCAAAUAAAUCGGCUCAAUAUGAAUUUCAAAAUAUGAUCCAGAAACAUGGGGGAGGAGCGUUGAUCAAGACGUUGUACUUCUCGGUGAAAGGCAUGGGAAGGGCUAAGGAGCCACACAGAUCAUCAAAUGUAUAGAAAAGAAGGGAAGACUUUAUUGUUUGAUAAGGGAUGAUGUCACCUAAACUUUAUCAUUGGAAAAUUCUUUUCAGAUAUGGAAGCCGAACCGACAACAAAUAGUAAAUGAUCCAAAGCAAGAUGUAGGUAAGCAGUUAUAGGGAAAAGGAGUCAAGAGAAAGUCCAGGGGCCAGGACCACAGCCUAAAACCCACGUCCUUCUAGGACUCGGCCCCUGCCCAGCUCCUUAGCUUCCUCUUCCAACACCGCACAAGCCAAAUGCUCUCUGCACCUACGGACCCAGGACCGCACACCUGAAAUGAAGCACAAGAGUCAGUGGUUUCUACCAAAGCCACAAGUUGAAAACCAGGUUCUACCCUUCAUCCAUCGGUGACACCAGGGUGGCCACCGUAUUGCCCUGCACAGCGUAUCUCUUCAGACCGUGGCCCAUCAUCCCAAUAAAAAUUCCAGACCCUUCAGAGCCCGGAUAGUCAACACUUCAAACACAUGUAAUCUAAUCCAGUAGCUCUCCUAAGGGUUUCCGGGAUGGAUGAUCUGUCGUCAUACCCACCGCGUGGCCCAGCCCAAAGGGCUCCAUGCCAUAUAUCUUAGGAGCUGGAGUUUCCAUUUGAGGACAAUACCCAGGCUAUAAAAGCCUCUGAAGAGAGUCCUGUAAUCCUCCCCCAAAUUAGCUGUCAAGCAGCAGUGUGUAGGGGAAGUCAAGUGCCUAUUUCCAGAAACUUCCACUCAGGGAAAAAUCGUAUUUCCAUAAAGAAGCACAAAGAGUGAGGGUGCCACUAAACAUUAUUUGGGUAUUUGGGGCAUGUGCUUUUUAUUUUUUUAUUUCUUGCCAACUCAAAAUCCAGUCCUUUUCUUGUCAAAUGUAAUUCUGGGAGAGUGAAACUGACAAGACAUACAAUAAAGUUGAGGAAGAGAAACACAAAGACCUAGAUAGUAACCUAUUUAUUUUCCAGAGGAAAAAAAAGUAACAACUAUUCUAGCAAAGAAAAUAGCCCUGCAUUUGGCCAUUUUUUUUUCCUGCUUCGCCCACAAUUUAAGAGAAAAACUUUUCAAAUUCACACAAAAUGGUAUACACUGUCUGCUUGUCUAUGGCCGUCUUCGAAUACGUAACCUUUCAGGUCACCAUGAAACACUUUUUUGAAAUAUGUCUCAAUCUGUCUUUCAGUGUGACAAAGAAAUUAUCAGACAAUUCGGCAUGUGACAUGACUGCUACCAUUAUCAUACGCCAUUCUCUACUUCCUGAAUGGGGGGGUGCGGAGGGGGAGGGACAGGGAUGUGGAAAUCACUGAAAAAAUCCUGGAACAGGAUCACACCCGAUUAUUUGUACAAGUGAAGCGACCCAGCGGAAUCACAUCGUUCCCUCCUCCGAGAGAUUUCAGAUCAGUAGAACUAUUGAUGCAGAACCAGGUUUGCUUAGACUCCUGUGUCACCACUUUGCCAGGCUCCAAUUUGUGACUCCAUUAGUUACAUAUACCUGUCCAACUCGCUUUGGACGGGCAGGGAACAUGCUGGAAUGUCUUCAGACUAAAGUUACAUAGAAGUACUUGACCUUUUUAAGAAAUACAGAUCAAAUCUGCCUUGGAUAUUUCACUAUAUCAGAGGAACAAUCAUAAAUGGCAUAUAAAAAUUCAACAGCUCUUGGGAUCAAUAAGCUAUCCACUCAGGGGAAGAAAAUAUAUAUACACAUUAUAUGUGUGUGUGUGUAUUUAUAUAUAUAUAAAAUAUAUAUGCUUUUUCAAAAAAAAUCACCAAGAUUUGCUGCUACUAAGAACUGGUUUAUUCUUGUGCUAAUACAGAAAAGCUGGCUUUGAGCCUGGCCUAAGAUUGGGGAAUACCCACAGGAUCAAAUGAAAUCCCUACCACGAGUACCAUCUUUUUGACUUAGGGCAUUGUCUCUAGAAGGGUUCUGGUAAAAUGCAAAUAUUUUAUCUAGAAGCGAUAACAUACUGAGUAAUUAGUUGUUUUGAACAUAUUUGCAUGGAUAUGUUUAUUGAUUUAGCUGGCAGAAAGAAACUCCUUAAGGAGAAGGGUCAGAGACAGGUGUGAUAAGGAGAUGAACAGAGAGGGACUGUAGGGCAGGCAGGAGUUGACCAAGAAUGCCCAGUGGUGGCUAGAAUAUUCACAAAAGGUGCCCCAAGGCUGCAUCGGGGGCCUUGGGGCUAGAGAGGUUUGGUGUUGCCUGCAUUUCUUAUUGCCUUGGGUCCACUUUCUUCUUGAGGAAAGCCUAGAAACAACGUGUCUCCAAUGUAUCAUUGGAAAUUGUAGGCACAGCCCAAAAAGUCUCACUUGGAGGCUAAUGCAAAUAAAAUGAGAUGGGAGAAUUUCCUCUCCAACUCACAACAAAGAAACAAAAAUAUUCUGAGAAGUCACCCAAUAAAAAAGCAAUUACAAUGUGAUGUGUUGGCCUGUUCGUGUAUCCUGAGUCUUUCACUGCACACAUUGUACGAAAGAGCACUCCCGCUCCCUGUCCCCCUGCCCCCCCUGGCCCACCUCCCUCCCACUCUCCCUCUCUCUUCUUCUCAGUGGAAUUCAGAGGAAGCUAAGAUGUUGUCCCAAGGAAACUGCAGGCAAACAUCCAAAGAAGUGGCUGGAGGAAGAGCAGGGAUGGAGAGUACAUGCCAAAUUCAAGAGGCUCCAAUAGCUGGAGAUUCCAGGGGUGACCUGUACCGAGCACACACACACACACACACACACACACCCCAAGCCUGGCAAAUACUCCCGUUUGAAGACCUUCCAAACAUUUCUCUUUUCUCUCCAGAAAAGAGCUUUUCUAUCAACUUGUUUCAAUGGUCACACAGGUUAAAAAAAAAAAAAAAAUUAAUAGUCUAAGAAGCUGGGGCUAAAGACCAAAAAGUUAAAGCGCUUACAAGGCAAAUAAUUUGAAGAGGCAGGAUAAAAUCAAAAACAGAAUUUAAAUGGUCCCAGCCUCAGAAUUUAUAAAAGACCAAGUCCUGACCUAUGACAGAAAUGAGAACUUUAUUGGGCACGUCAUUCAGAAAGGCAGGGAAGGCUGAGACACAGAACACAAUGAAUGUCAGGUUAAGGAUUUAAAUCUCAGUCUGGCAGGGUCGGGAAAACCAAUACAGGAAUGCCAGGGAGGAGGAAGGAGGAGAGACGUGCGGCGCAAAGCUAGUGCUGUUCAGAACUUUGACUGCAUAAUUAGCCCACGUGGUAAUUAGGAAUCUAGAGGGCCUAUGGAAAUGAAAGCACAACGGGCAGAUUUGGAUUUUGCUGCAUCGAGCCAGAAUACUUAACGCGGCGAGAGUUUCCCCCGAUCUUGGCUGGGUACUUGGGUAGCUGACAGCCGGCGAGGCUUAUAAACAUCUCUGCACUACCUGUUUUAUAACAGUCGUGACUGACAGAAGGGAAACAUCUUAAAAGUCCUUCGAUGGUGGUUUCGGCUUUGGGCUUUCGAUCUAGUUUCAGGAAAACAUAUUUUUUGGUCAUGAUUUCAACCAUCAGAUCACAGGAAACUGAGUUCAUUACAGGGAUGAUGAGGUCAAGGCUGAGUUGAUCUGUACGCCAAUGAUAAGCUGGCAUCACAGGCUUGUUUUAUUUAUAGAGACCCAUGAUAUCAAAUUAGAUGGGAAGGAGGAGAGGGGAAGAAUUGAGCUUUAUUUAGAGUAAGUGUCUCUGGAAGGCAUCUACAACCAGUUUUCUAAAGAUACAAGACAAUGUCAUGGGUUCUGUCUCUGCCUUCAGAAAAAUCAGAGGAGGAAAGUUAGACAUUUACAAACUACCGUGGUUUUGAGCUAAUUCAAAGGGCCCAUCUUCCCUGGGAAGUAAAGUAACCGGAGGAAAAUAAUGCAUGUUGUUCAUUUCCACUGCUCUUUCCUACAAUCCAAUACGCAGACCCUAGGGGUCACUGACUCAGCU